GCCAAACAACUAGCCCCCCCCCCCAAAACUAAAUUAUAACCAUAAGUAGAAGCACAUGAACCCAAAUGAGCUAAAAGUAAAACAUUUUCCCACCCCAGUAUGGGCGACAGAAAAGGACCCAGCAGGGAGCAAUAGAGAU
rnacentral:rRNA from 1 species